CAGGUCUGUGAUGCCCUUAGAUGUUCUGGGCUGCACGCGUGUUACACUGAAGGGAUCAGCGUGUCCUCCCUGACCGAGAGGUCCGGGUAACCCGCUGAACCCCCUUCGUGGUAGGGAUCGGAGCUUGCAAUUAUUCUCCGUGAACCAGGAAUGCCCAGUAAGCGCAAGUCAUAAGCUUGCGUUGAUUACGUCCCUGCCGUUUGUACACACCGCCCGU
rnacentral:rRNA from 1 species